GUACGUAGGUGGCAAGCGUUAUCCGGAUUUAUUGGGCGUAAAGCGAGCGCAGGCGGUCGCUUAGGUCUGAUGUGAAAGCCUUCGGCUUAACCGAAGAAGUGCAUCGGAAACCGGGCGACUUGAGUGCAGAAGAGGACAGUGGAACUCCAUGUGUAGCGGUGGAAUGCGUAGAUAUAUGGAAGAACACCAGUGGCGAAGGCGCUUCUCUGGACUGUAACUGACGCUGAGGCUCGAAAGCGGUGGGGAGA
rnacentral:rRNA from 1 species